UCUCUCAGAUCACUGGCUCCAAGGGAAGCCAACUGCCAUGUUUUGAGGGCACUCAAGCAGCCUACGGAGAGGCUCAAGGUGUAAGAAAUUGGGGUGUCUGGCCAGCGGCUGGUGAGAAGCGGUAGGCUGCCUAUUACCAUGAAGGCUCAGGGGAUACUGGGCACUCAGAGGCUCACAAAUUAACCGGUUAAGAGGACAUCAGCUUCACUAGGAGUCAGCGGUGACUGUCGUCUGCAGACCAGGACUGAGGAUCUGAGACCUGUUUUUUCAUGGGCAUUUGCUGAUUCUGGAGAAGGUGGCUGAGAGGUUAGGAAGCUGCAUAGAACUUUCAGAAGCUCCACAGACCUUCCAUGAGACACACACUGGAGUUCAUGGUCCUCCAAAUGGGAGUGGGGCGUGGUAAACCCUAUGCGCUUAGCUUUGGACACCAGCGAGCUGUGCUCUCAGAGUUAUGAUGAAUCCCCACAGAGAAGCUUCUCAAGCUCUAGGACUACUCUCAAUUUAUUGCUGUAAUUUUUAAGAACACAUUUGGCACACAGUAAAAAAUGCCCUGGCACACAAAAAGAACCUUUUUUUUUUUUUAAAGCAGAAUUAAAUGUCAGUAGAAACAGAGCCACGGGGAAUUAAAAAUUAUUUAGCUCUUUGUGUUUCAGUAAAUAAAAGACAGGGUGAAGAAACUGGACAGGUAAGUGUAAAAUAUAAAAGAAGAUAAAGCAGAGUUGA